rnacentral:piRNA from 1 species
UGAUCACGUGAAUGGGCUGAUCUCGCUA